UACGGAGGGGGCUAGCGUUGUUCGGAAUUACUGGGCGUAAAGCGCACGUAGGCGGACUGUUAAGUCGGGGGGUGAAAUCCUGGGGCUCAACCUCAGAAUUGCCUCCGAUACUGGCAGUCUCGAGUGCGGGAGAGGUGAGUGGAAUUCCCAGUGUAGAGGUGAAAUUCGUAGAUAUCGGGAGGAACACCGGUGGCGAAGGCGGCGAUUCUAGGACCACAACUGGACACUG
rnacentral:rRNA from 1 species